CAAUAGCGUAUAUUAAAGUUGUUGCAGUUAAAACGCUCGUAGUUGAACAUCUGCCCUUUUCCGGUUAGGUCCGCUCUGCGUGCACCUUCCGAAAUCGGCAUCCGUCUGCGUUGCUUCGCAUUGCAGACCGUUCACUUUGAGGAAAUUAGAGUGUUCAAAGCAGGCUUACGCCUUGAAUACUUCAGCAUGUAAUGAUUGAUGGGACUUCUAUCCUAUCUUGGUUCUAGGGACAGAAGUAAUGGUAAACAGGGUUGGUUGGGGGCAUUCGUACUGAACAGUCAGAGGUGAAAUUCUUAGAUUUGUUCAAGACGAACAACUGCGAAAGCAUUUGCCAAGGACGACCCCAUUA
rnacentral:rRNA from 1 species